rnacentral:rRNA from 1 species
UUAAAGAGUUCUAUAACUCCCAAACCCAUGUGAACAUACCUAACGUUGCCUCGGCAGGUCGCACCUACCUUGUAGCACCCUACCCUGUAGGGCCUACCCGGGAGGUGCGGGUAAGCCUGCCGGCGGCCCACCAAACUCUGUUUGAUAUUGAAUUCUGAACCUAUAACUAAAUAAGUUAAAACUUUCAACAACGGAUCUCUUGGUUCUGGCAUCGAUGAAGAACGCAGCGAAAUGCGAUAAGUAAUGUGAAUUGCAGAAUUCAGUGAAUCAUCGAAUCUUUGAACGCAUAUUGCGCCCAUUAGUAUUCUAGUGGGCAGGACCGUUCGAGCGUCAUUUCAACCCUUAAGCCUUCGUUGCUUAGUGUUGGGAGCCUACGGCAACGUAGCUCCUCAAAGUUAGUGGCGGAGUUGGUUCACACUCUAGACGUAGUAAUUUUUUAUCUCGCCUAUUAGUUGGACUAAUCCCCUGCCGUAAAACCCCCAAUUUAUCAAGGUUGACCUCGAAUCGGUUCAGACAAACUCGCUAAAUUGAAGCAUCUUAGUCAGCGAAGGA